AUGAACGCUAGCGACAGGCUUAACACAUGCAAGUCGAGGGGCAGCACAGGUAGCAAUACCGGGUGGCGACCGGCGCACGGGUGAGUAACGCGUAUGCAACUUACCUAUCAGAGGGGGAUAACCCGGCGAAAGUCGGACUAAUACCGCAUGAAGCAGGGGCCCCGCAUGGGGAUAUUUGCUAAAGAUUCAUCGCUGAUAGAUAGGCAUGCGUUCCAUUAGGCAGUUGGCGGGGUAACGGCCCACCAAGCCGACGAUGGAUAGGGGUUCUGAGAGGAAGGUCCCCCACAUUGGUACUGAGACACGGACCAAACUCCUACGGGAGGCAGCAGUGAGGAAUAUUGGUCAAUGGCCGAGAGGCUGAACCAGCCAAGUCGCGUGAGGGAUGAAGGUUCUAUGGAUCGUAAACCUCUUUUAUAAGGGAAUAAAGUGCGGGACGUGUCCCGUUUUGUAUGUACCUUAUGAAUAAGGAUCGGCUAACUCCGUGCCAGCAGCCGCGGUAAUACGGAGGAUCCGAGCGUUAUCCGGAUUUAUUGGGUUUAAAGGGUGCGUAGGCGGCCUUUUAAGUCAGCGGUGAAAGUCUGUGGCUCAACCAUAGAAUUGCCGUUGAAACUGGGGGGCUUGAGUAUGUUUGAGGCAGGCGGAAUGCGUGGUGUAGCGGUGAAAUGCAUAGAUAUCACGCAGAACCCCGAUUGCGAAGGCAGCCUGCCAAGCCAUGACUGACGCUGAUGCACGAAAGCGUGGGGAUCAAACAGGAUUAGAUACCCUGGUAGUCCACGCAGUAAACAAUGAUCACUAGCUGUUUGCGAUACACUGUAAGCGGCACAGCGAAAGCGUUAAGUGAUCCACCUGGGGAGUACGCCGGCAACGGUGAAACUCAAAGGAAUUGACGGGGGCCCGCACAAGCGGAGGAACAUGUGGUUUAAUUCGAUGAUACGCGAGGAACCUUACCCGGGUUUGAACGCAUUCGGACCGAGGUGGAAACACCUUUUCUAGCAAUAGCCGUUUGCGAGGUGCUGCAUGGUUGUCGUCAGCUCGUGCCGUGAGGUGUCGGCUUAAGUGCCAUAACGAGCGCAACCCUUGCCACUAGUUACUAACAGGUAAAGCUGAGGACUCUGGUGGGACUGCCAGCGUAAGCUGCGAGGAAGGCGGGGAUGACGUCAAAUCAGCACGGCCCUUACAUCCGGGGCGACACACGUGUUACAAUGGCGUGGACAAAGGGAAGCCACCUGGCGACAGGGAGCGAAUCCCCAAACCACGUCUCAGUUCGGAUCGGAGUCUGCAACCCGACUCCGUGAAGCUGGAUUCGCUAGUAAUCGCGCAUCAGCCAUGGCGCGGUGAAUACGUUCCCGGGCCUUGUACACACCGCCCGUCAAGCCAUGGGAGCCGGGGGUACCUGAAGUCCGUAACCGCGAGGAUCGGCCUAGGGUAAAACUGGUGACUGGGGCU
rnacentral:rRNA from 1 species